rnacentral:lncRNA from 1 species
CCCAAACCCCCUCUGCAGCAGCAGGGUCACCCCGGAACAGCCUGAGGGGACAGGGACAGUGUCACCUCCCCCCUGUGUGACACCCCUGUGACACCCCCAAACCCCCUCUGCAGCAGCAGGGUCACCCCGGAACAGCCGGGGGGACAGGGACAGUGUCACCUCCCCCCUGUGACACCCCGAGACCCCCUGAGACCCCCUGUGACACCCCUCUGCACCAGCAGGGUCACCCCGGAACAGCCUGGGGGGACAAUCCUGGGGUCACCUCCCCUGUGUGACACCCUGAGACCCCCUGAGACCCCCUGUGACCCCCCUCUGCACCAGCAGGGUCACCCCGGAACAGCCUGGGGGGACACGAGUGUCACCUCCCCCUGUGUGACACCCCUGAGACCCCCAAACCCCCCCUCUGCAGCAGCAGGGUCACCCCGGAACAGCCUGGGGGGACACGAGUGUCACCUCCCCUGUGUGACACCCCUGUGACACCCCCAAACCCCCCCUCUGCAGCAGCAGGGUCACCCCGGAACAGCCUGGGGGACACGAGUGUCACCUCCCCCCUGUCACCUGUGGCCAGGUGUCACUCCCCAGCAGGUGACACAGGUGACAAUGACAGUGACACAGGUGACACAGGUGACAAUGACAAUGACUCACCUGUCACCCGUGGCCAGGUGUCACUCCCCGGCAGGUGACACAGGUGACACAGGUGAUGUCCCUUACCUGUCACUCUGGGCCAGGUGUCACUCCCGGGCAGGUGACACAGGUGACACAGGUGACACAGGUGACACAGGUGACACAGGUGACACAGGUGACAAUGACACUGACUCACCUGUCACCCGUGGCCAGGUGUCACUCCCGGGCAGGUGACAUCCCUCCUGCUCCGGGAUCAGCCGCUCGUCCACCUCGAUCACCUCCUCAUAGAGCACCUCGGGCAUGGCCACCUCCUGCGGGGACAGCGGGGACACUGAGGGGACACCGGGGACACUGGGGACAGCGAGGGGACACCAGGGACACUGAGGGGACACCGGGACAUGGGGACACUGAGGGGACAGCGGGACAUGGGGACACCGGGGACACUGAGGGGACAGCAGGACAUGAGGGGACACCGGGACAUGGGGACACCAGGGGACACUGAG